rnacentral:rRNA from 1 species
GGCCGAACGCUGGCGGCGUGCUUAACACAUGCAAGUCGAACGGAAAGGCCCUGCUUUUGUGGGGUGCUCGAGUGGCGAACGGGUGAGUAACACGUGAGUAACCUGCCCUUGACUUUGGGAUAACUUCAGGAAACUGGGGCUAAUACCGGAUAGGAGCUCCUGCUGCAUGGUGGGGGUUGGAAAGUUUCGGCGGUUGGGGGUGGACUCGCGGCUUAUCAGCUUGUUGGUGGGGUAGUGGCUUACCAAGGCUUUGACGGGUAGCCGGCCUGAGAGGGUGACCGGCCACAUUGGGACUGAGAUACGGCCCAGACUCCUACGGGAGGCAGCAGUGGGGAAUAUUGCACAAUGGGCGGAAGCCUGAUGCAGCAACGCCGCGUGCGGGAUGACGGCCUUCGGGUUGUAAACCGCUUUCGCCUGUGACGAAGCGUGAGUGACGGUAAUGGGUAAAGAAGCACCGGCUAACUACGUG